rnacentral:rRNA from 1 species
GGGCCCGCACAAGCGGUGGAGCAUGUGGUUUAAUUCGAUGAUACGCGAGGAACCUUACCAGGGCUUAAAUGUAAGUUGCAUUAGCUAGAGAUAGCUAUUUCUUCGGACCACUUACAAGGUGCUGCAUGGUUGUCGUCAGCUCGUGCCGUGAGGUGUCAGUUAAGUCCUAUAACGAGCGCAACCCCUGUUGUUAGUUGCCAGCGAGUCAUGUCGGGAACUCUAACAAGACUGCCGGUGCAAACCGUGAGGAAGGUGGGGAUGACGUCAAAUCAUCACCGGCCCUUACGUCCUGGGCUACACACGUGCUACAAUGGUCGGUACAGAGAGCAGCCACUGCGCGAGCAGGAG